AGAGUUUGAUUCUGGCUCAGGAUGAACGCUAGCGGCAGGCUUAACACAUGCAAGUCGAGGGGCAGCGGGGAGGAAGCUUGCUUUCUCCGCCGGCGACCGGCGCACGGGUGAGUAACACGUAUGCAACCUGCCCCUGUCAGGGGGACAACCCGCCGAAAGGCGGGCUAAACCCGCGUACAUGCCACCGGGGCAUCCCGGAGGCAGGAAAGGCUUCGGCCGGACAGGGAUGGGCAUGCGGCGCAUUAGGCAGUAGGCGGGGUAACGGCCCACCUAACCGACGAUGCGUAGGGGUUCUGAGAGGAAGGUCCCCCACACUGGUACUGAGACACGGACCAGACUCCUACGGGAGGCAGCAGUGAGGAAUAUUGGUCAAUGGUCGGGAGACUGAACCAGCCAAGCCGCGUGAGGGAGGAAGGUACAGAGUAUCGUAAACCUCUUUUGUCAGGGAACAAAGACUGGGACGCGUCCCCGGAUGAGUGUACCUGAAGAAAAAGCAUCGGCUAACUCCGUGCCAGCAGCCGCGGUAAUACGGAGGAUGCGAGCGUUAUCCGGAUUUAUUGGGUUUAAAGGGUGCGCAGGCGGUCUGUUAAGUCAGCGGUCAAAGCCCGGGGCUCAACCCCGGCCCGCCGUUGAAACUGGCAGUCUCGAGUUGGAGAGAAGUAUGCGGAAUGCCCGGUGUAACGGUG
rnacentral:rRNA from 1 species